CUCAAAAGUAAUAUUAAAGAAUUAUUGUACAUUAGAUCUGCAAGUGCAGCAAAGGAAGCAAGCAAGAAAUUUUAAAAAAAUACUCACCGUAAAUUCCAUUUUCCAUAGGAUAAGUGGUAGUACAACAACAUCAGGACAGGCAGAAUUGAUCCUAUAAAAUUCUUAAUAUUAGUACCACCUUUAACCACCCCCCACAAUCUACAAGUACUUGCCUACCCCCAAAAAAAU